UACAGAGGGUGCAAGCGUUAAUCGGAAUUACUGGGCGUAAAGCGUGUGUAGGCGGCCCGGUAAGUCCGCUGUGAAAGUCGGGGGCUCAACCCUCGGAUGCCGGUGGAUACUGUCGGGCUAGAGUGCGGAAGAGGCGAGUGGAAUUCCUGGUGUAGCGGUGAAAUGCGCAGAUAUCAGGAGGAACACCAAUUGCGAAGGCAGCUCGCUGGGACGUUACUGACGCUGAGACGCGAAAGCGUGGGGAGCAAACAGG
rnacentral:rRNA from 1 species